AUUAUUACUUAUGUUGUUCUUUCCAAACCAAAACCACCAUUUUCAAGACAUGGGAGGUUCGGCCAAGCUUAGCCCGUCGAUUUGAUGAAUUACGUUUUUGUGGAUUUGGAAGAUUAGAGUAACGCAAGAAAUCACACUAUCCAGGAAUCUUUGGUAUACUUUGAUUUUGGUUUGAUAUAUAUGACAUGUAAUAGGGCCAUUUUGGAUUUGUUAUAUUGGUAUUUAGUUUUGUGCAAGUUUACACGUUAGCUUGUGUUGUUAUGUUUGAUUAACUGUGGAAAUACGCAUGCUUUAUUUAAGUUGAAUUAUGAUAUGAAAUGAAAA